CAGGAAGUGGCUGUGAGGAAGCCCACACUUGUUCCAGUUCAUCUAUCACAAGAAGAGUUAUUCUGGAGUGAAUGAAUGCAACCUAAGGGAUGCAGAAAUUUUGAAAGAUCAGAAUCUGAGCACGCAUGUGCUCACAGAGGCCGGCAAGAAAUGCACGUUAAUAGCAGCUUCUUCCCUGAGGAAGGUUUUGAACUGGAGUACUUGAGAAGAAACUUACAACAGAGCAGCCUAGAGUGCCACCCCGUCCCUUUUAAUUAGCACACAUGAAUAGUAUUUAAUGUAAAAUAUCUAUCAACAUUUGUCUAUGAAGACAAAAAACCUGGAAGCCAAUGUCCGGAACUGUUUUCUCCUGACUAGAACACUUCAGCCCAGUCCUUCAGCACUUUGAAUAUACAACAGAGAUUUUUGUGCUUGGAAGAAAAGGAGAAAGAAAAUAAUGAAUUGGGGAACAAAGUCUGCAAUCACCAUACAGGUUAAGGGAUAUAUGGCCACAACCAAUCUGGUCUUCCUUUGGCCAAAAGUGUUGCACCUCUUCAGCCAGAAUGGCAGUGAGACUGCUGAACCCGUCCAGGGCUGACACCAGGAUUGUGUGAGCCUUAGAGGAACAGGCAAGGAAAUGCAAGAUAGACUGAGGACUUUGCACAUCAGGGUUCUCAAGACAGCAGCUGAGAACGUCGCUGUGAUUCCCAGAAGAAGGGAGAGGAUCGUCCCAAAUAGAUUUUGGAGGAUAGAAAAGGCUAAAAACUAGCAUUGUGCGGAGAUAUAUUUCUUGAGGAAGGUUGAGAGGCAUGAUCUGGCCCAGGAGCUUCACCAGAAUUGAUGGGAAAGAUUUUCAAACGCAUAAAGGGGAGUUAGGCAUCUGGUUCCUAUUGACAUUCAUACCCUUUAAUGCCAGGGUUUCUUCCUUUUAUACAUUUGUAUCAUUCUGUCUAUUGUGUAUAAUCAGGAUUAUUUAAAAAAAAAAUAAGUAGAAGAGACACCCGAGGGCUCCAAGGCUUGAAACCAGGUGUGAAAAAUAGAUAUCCUGCUUGACAUUGGACCAGAAUAAAUUUAUUCUCUAUUGAUUUCUGGAUUCAGAGGCCUGAUCUUCCUCAUUCAGUUCUCCCACAUAAAUGGGAGCUAAUAUUCCUCUUCUGCAUAAAAAAUGAAAUUAAAGUAUUAAUCAAAAUCAUAUAAAUGAGGCAAAAACUCAACCCUGCCCUUGUGCCUAACUAAUUAUUUUGAACAGCUCUGGUCUGUUCACCUCUGUGCUGAGUUGGUAAUGUAUCCCCCUUCGGUCGAUUCAAGAUCUCUAGCAACACCUAUGGGAGAAUCUUUAAUUAAUCCUCUGUUACUGUUGUAAUUGCAGUAUCCUGAGGGAAAGGCUGAGUAGCCAGGAAUAUUAUUUUAAACAUAUACUGUAAACAACAUUUGUCCUCGGGAGAGUUCAGUUAAUACAACAGUUUUGACCCUUUCACUGCUGGGUGUUUAACAGUUUAUUUUCCUAAACCAAUAAAAAGGGCUUAUUUCCUUUCAUGUGGUCUUAUUUAGACUUCAUGCUAAAAAAAACACAACUGAGUGCAAUUACAUAUGAACCCACCCAAUAAAAUAAUUGCUUACAGGUUGCUUAAAGUAUUUCCAUCUAAAUGAAGAAAGCCCUGACAUUUCACUCCCUUCCACCCUACUGUCUCAUUAUUAAAUGCAGGUCUCUGUGAAAACAGAUUUCUCUGACAGUGGCAUAAUCUCUAACUCUGCAGUGUCCUUUAUAUUUGCUGUAAACAAGAUCUGCUCAUUUUGCUUAUUUCUCUUAGACAAUCUAUAUAAAAGCAGCAUUAUCCAGUGGAUGGAGCAAGGGAACAAGGAUUCCUGUAUCCUGUUUCCAGGUCUGGCCAGAGUGAGCUGUACUGUGCCAUGGACUCACUAUGUGUUAUUGGUUUCUGCGGCUGUGGUGAAUUAUCGCAAACUUCAUAAGUGGAAUGGAUGUCUCACAUACGUGUCUCAGGGAAGAGUCACUAGAUGUAGCUGUCCAGAGAACUGAACUGCUAGCUAAGAACCUGUCUUCACUGUUUUUGUAUUUGGUUCAUGAUAGUUUCCUUUGAAAGGGUUACACAAAACAUGGCUCAGUUAUACCCAUAUAGCAGCUUUUUUCACAACACAGUCAUCGGUCAGGUAUGUACCUCUGUUCACACUUACCAUGCUGCUAGCAACCAUGGUGUAUGUGAAUACGAAUCAUGUUUCCAGUUAAUCAUGCCAUUAACGAGGUUCAAGCUCAUUUACAUAUUGUAGUCUAGGUAGGGUCUAUAAAGAUUGAUAGUUGGAGAUGAAGGAGGGUAGGAGGAAUUCCAGAAUAAAAAAUAAAUCCUGAGGUGUCUGCAGGCUAAACAGACACAGAGUCUCAAAAAAAGGAAUGGACUGGAAUAAAAAUUCAAAACAAUGUUUAAGAUAAAUAUUUAUAAUAUCACAGAAAACACUCCGUAGCAUAUUCAAGUUUAGAUUUUAAAGUCUCUGAUCAAGGUCCAUUUGUUCUUCCUUUUUCACCUUCCUGUAUUCAAAAAUCUCUUACCAGCUAAUUAAGCAGAGAAAGACAGAGAAAGAUCUAGUUCUUUAAACACCUGAAAGGUAUAAGUAACAAAGAUCAGGAGUUUAAACAUAAAGAGACUAAUGUAUUAACCUAGCUUCUGUUUAUGUACAGAUAAAGAAGAGGCCAGUUUCCAGUUGUUUAAGGUUCAAGUAAACGGGGUCUUCCGGAACCCUCAUCAUCUAUGUGUCUGAUGGAUCACAGAGGCUCAUUUUAGUUGGGUUUUUGGUUUGAGAAAGGAUUAAUAUAUUUUUCAGUCUUUAUAAUAUGCUGGAAUUUGUGUAAGAUUCUUCCCUAUUUAAGACUGUAUAAAAAUCAUCCUCUCUUUUCCUAUCCAGAGCGCACACACACAAAAAUAGGAUACACAUAAAAUCUCAGGUUUUAGACUUCGUAAAAUACUUCUAUCUAAAUGCAGAUUUCUGGGAAAAUGUCCUAGAAAAUUUACACCCAGCAUGCAAAUCUGUGCUACAUGGAGAAUUUCCAGUAGGAGCUUUUUAAAAAAGAAUGAGACAUUCAUUAUGUUUUGAUUUGAGUGCCCAAGAGAAGUGAGAAAUAUCCUGUUCUCUAGUUAUCCAGGGCUCAGGUUCAUUGCAACCAGCAUUAUGCUUUUCUAUGCUAACUUUGGUUUAGAUAUAAAUUAGUUUCAUUCUUAUCACAAGGAUAAUUCAGCUUCCAUACUUACCACCAUACUAAAAGAAACAACCCCAGAGCUAUUAGUCAUAAAAAAGUUCUAGUAAAAGAUCAUCCGGGAUGUAACUCUAUUGACUUCAAUGGAGUUACACUAGGUUUGCAGUUGAGCCAGUAUACUUUAAUAUUUAAUAUUAACCGGUCUUGACAUACUCUUUAGUUCUUUAAAAAGCUACAUUUUCGGGUGACAGAACAAGAUAUGGCAAUUUUUAAAACCAUUGGCUGCAUGGCAUGCUUAUUGUCAUGGUAUUACCCAGAAUGCCUUUCCUGAUGAUAACUGUUUCGUAGGUCUGCAGCUUUGAGUUGCCAGUAUGUGAAUACAGCACCUUCUUCAGUUUGAGUGCUUUAAAAGCACAAUUUGUGGGAAGCUUGCAUUACUUUUAUUCCUCACUAAUGUAUUUAGAUGUUGUCUAUUGGUCUGAACAUGAGCAUGGGAACAAGAAAUGUCUUGAAUUCCUUGUCCAGCUCUCAGAUCUAUGAUUUAUUUAUUUAGAAAAUCCAAAGCUCACAGUCACCCGUCACAACCUCUCAUCGUGAUGACAGCUUAAUUUCAAGAGGCUGCUCUUGCCAAUGUAAAAUGCACAUAUGCCAGGUGAUAGCAUAAUCCACCUCUGCAAAACAGCAUAACCUGGUCUCCAUGCUCAAAUCCUUCCCUAUGUCCCCCCAAAAAUGUCUGAGAGAAAAAGAUGGACCUUGAAGCAUUCUCAGAAGUUAACAAGCGCAGCUUCUGGAUGGAGAACAUAUUCCAAAAAUGAGGCAUCCCCAUGAAGAAUGUUCUCAAAGGUAUCUUUGAUGUUCUUCAGUGAUUGGCCUUAUGGGCCUGUUUACUCUGUAUAAAUAUUUUGAACCAAUUAUAAAAUUGGUUCAGCUAAACUGACUUUAGGGAACCAUAGUUCAGAGGUGGUUUAAGGUGGCCUGACCCAUUGUAACUUAGCUGAUCUCAUGCACACCUCAACGUCACCUUAAAUCUAGGUCAACAGUACACACUAAGCAGUUUUAAAAUCAGUUUGCCUGAAUCAGUUUUGUAAUGAUUACAAAAUGACUGUAGCAUACGCAGGCCCAUCAAGGUUAGCAACCAGCACCGACACCAUGAAAUAUGCCUUAGGGUACGUCUACACUACAAGACUAUUUCGAUUCAUCUUAAUUCGAAUUUCUGGAAUCGACCUAAUGAAGUCGAAGUUGUGUAUCCACAAUAAAUACACUAAUUCGACUGUGUGAG